AACCGUUUGAUUUGCUCGUGCCUGUUUGAAUUACUUACCCAGCAGAUGUCUGGGUAAUUGAAGUCCCCCAUGUGGACCAGUGCUCGUGAUUGUGAGGCUACUAGCAGCUGCUCGUAGAAGGCCUUGUCGACUUCCUCCUCCUGAUCUGGAGACCUGUAGUAGACCCCCACCACCAUGUCUCCUAUACAAGCCCACCCUUUUUGUUUUUUUACUCACAAGCUCUCCACCUGUCCAUCACCCUCCCCCAGCUGGGGCUGGGUACACUCUAAUUGCUCCCUCACAUAAGGGCAACCCCACCCCCUUGCUUCCCCCGCCUGUCUCUCCUAAAGAGGAUGUAGCCCUCCAUGAUUGUGUUCCAGUCAUGUGAGCUGUCCCACCACGUCUCAGUGAUCGCAACGAGAUCGUGGCCCUGUGUCCGAACGCAGAUCUAGAGCUCAUCCUGUUUAUUUCCCAUGCUCCGUGCACAGGCCCUUUAGGGAAGCAGCAGGUCUGCCAGUAGCUGACAGAGUAGAAAGGUGUGCUUCUCUCUCUUCCUUGUAUUGAGUUAGAGGCAAUGCCUGACAUCCAGCUAAGAUGUACAAAAGAGAAGGAGAAGGACAAAGCCUGGGAGGAAGACUAUGAGCCUUCAGCAUGAGAGACCCCCAGAGGGACUACCGGGGACUGAUACGCAUGAGCCAGUGGGAGGGUUCGGAAUCCGGGAACUAAUUAUAAUAACCCUGCCUUUUCUAGAAGUAGUAAUGAACAUGUAUUAGCCUAGGAGCAGAAAAAGCUGCCGCCUGAUGAAACGUGUGUGCGUGUUGGAGGAGCCCAGACUCCCCGCGCACCCAGCGCUCGUUACUGGCCUUUUUUAUUAACCCCAUAAAUAAAUCUCAUAAAGCUAA